UCCUUAGAUGUUCUGGGCCGCACGCGCGCUACACUGAUGCAUUCAACAAGCCUAGCCUUGACCGAGAGGUCCGGGUAAUCUUUGAAACUGCAUCGUGAUGGGGCUAGAUUAUUGCAAUUAUUAAUCUUCAACGAGGAAUGCCUAGUAAGCGUAAUUCAUCAAAUCGCGUUGAUUACGUCCCUGCCCUUUGUACACACCGCCCGUCGCUCCUACCGAUUGAAUGUGUUGGUGAGGAGCUCGGAUUGGCAGCAGUUGGUGGUUCGCCACCGGCUAUUGCUGAGAAGUCCUCCAAACCGCCCCAUUUAGAGGAAGGAGAAGUCGUAACA
rnacentral:rRNA from 1 species